GGCCAUUUUUGGUAAGCAGAACUGGCGAUGUGGGAUGGACCAGUAACACGAUAAGGC
rnacentral:rRNA from 14 species